GUACACCGUGCGGCGUGUGUCCAUGUCUUCGGGCCUCUCCCAGCAGUUAUGGUCGGAGUAAGGGUCGCCGACUUGGACGAAGACGACGCCGGGAACCGCCGUCGCCUUCAGAAGGUAGUCUGUCCCCCACCGUAAGGCCUUGACGGCGUUCCUCUGCUCCGUCCCCAUGACCCGCCCGAAGUCUAUAAUGCUCCACGCCAGCAGAGUGGUCGUGAACGCCAUCGGAAACCCGAACUUCACGUUGUCGCCGGCGUCGUAGUAGCCCCCGGUUAAGUCUACCUGAAAAACAAACAAAAUGUGAGUCUAAAAUCUAAAAUAUUAGCAGUUUAACACACAACUUUUUGAGUACACAACCCUUUUUGAUGAAAGCAACUUUGAAUGUAUUAGAUGAGGGAGGGAGAGUAGCUUACGCCGGCGGUGGAGCCGUCGUGCAAUGCGGAGUCGCGGCGCCAUUUGAGGCGUUGAUCGGGCGGGAGCUUGCCGGAGCGCUGGCCUUCGAAGAAGAGGAUGCUCUUGCGGAGGGCGUCGUGGUAGUCGUGGCCGGCGCUGAUUGGCUGGAGAAGCAGGAGCAGCGAGAGGACGAGUGUUGCGCGAAAUGCGGGAACAUUUCCCGGUAAGCAAAGGCCAUUUCGCGCCAUUUUUUUUCUCUC
rnacentral:lncRNA from 1 species